rnacentral:rRNA from 1 species
UGGGAAUUUGGACAAUGGGCGAAAGCCUGAUCCAGCAAUGCCGCGUGUGUGAAGAAGGCCUUCGGGUUGUAAAGCACUUUUGUCCGGAAAGAAAUCCUUGGCUCUAAUACAGUCGGGGGAUGACGGUACCGGAAGAAUAAGCACCGGCUAACUACGUGCCAGCAGCCGCGGUAAUACGUAGGGUGCAAGCGUUAAUCGGAAUUACUGGGCGUAAAGCGUGCGCAGGCGGUUUGCUAAGACCGAUGUGAAAUCCCCGGGCUCAACCUGGGAACUGCAUUGGUGACUGGCAGGCUAGAGUAUGGCAGAGGGGGGUAGAAUUCCACGUGUAGCAGUGAAAUGCGUAGAGAUGUGGAGGAAUACCGAUGGCGAAGGCAGCCCCCUGGGCAAUACUGACGCUCAUGCACGAAAGCGUGGGGAGCAAACAGGAUUAGAUACCCUGGUAGUCCACGCCCUAAACGAUGUCAACUAGUUGUUGGGGAUUCAUUUCCUUAGUAACGUAGCUAACGCGUGAAGUUGACCGCCUGGGGAGUACGGUCGCAAGAUUAAAACUUAAAGGAAUUGACGGGGUCAUAGCUGUUUCCU